rnacentral:rRNA from 1 species
GGACGAACGCUGGCGGCGUGCUUAACACAUGCAAGUCGAGCGAUGAAGCUUCUUCGGAAGUGGAUUAGCGGCGGACGGGUGAGUAACACGUGGGUAACCUGCCUCAUAGAGGGGAAUAGCCUUCCGAAAGGAAGAUUAAUACCGCAUAAGAUUGUAAUGCCGCAUGGCAUAGCAAUUAAAGGAGCAAUCCGCUAUGAGAUGGACCCGCGUCGCAUUAGCUAGUUGGUGAGGUAACGGGCUCACCAAGGCGACGAUGCGUAGCCGACCUGAGAGGGUGAUCGGCCACAUUGGGACUGAGACACGGCCCAGACUCCUACGGGAGGCAGCAGUGGGGAAUAUUGCACAAUGGGGGAAACCCUGAUGCAGCAACGCCGCGUGAGUGAUGACGGUCUUCGGAUUGUAAAGCUCUGUCUUUAGGGACGAUAAUGACGGUACCUAAGGAGGAAGCCACGGCUAACUACGUG